UACGGAGGGUGCAAGCAUUGCUCGGAAUUACUGGGCGUAAAGGGCGCGUAGGCGGCCGAGAAAGUCAGAUGUGAAAUUCCGGAGCUCAACCCCGGAGCUGCAUUUGAAACUUCUUGGCUAGAGUGCAAUUAGGGAAAACGGAAUUCCACGUGUAGCGGUGAAAUGCGUAGAUAUGUGGAAGAACACCGGUGGUGAAGACGGUUUUCUGGGUUGUAACUGACGCUGAGGCGCGAAAGCUAGGGGAGCAAACAGG
rnacentral:rRNA from 1 species